rnacentral:rRNA from 1 species
AGAUUGAACGCUGGCGGCAUGCCUUACACAUGCAAGUCGAACGGCAGCACGGGGGCAACCCUGGUGGCGAGUGGCGAACGGGUGAGUAAUGCAUCGGAACGUGCCCAGUAGUGGGGGAUAACUAGUCGAAAGAUUAGCUAAUACCGCAUACGACCUAUGGGUGAAAGCGGGGGAUUCGCAAGAACCUCGCGCUAUCGGAGCGGCCGAUGUCUGAUUAGCUAGUUGGCGGGUAAAAGCCCACCAAGGCUUCGAUCAGUAGCUGGUCUGAGAGGACGACCAGCCACACUGGGACUGAGACACGG